AACAUAUUGGUUGACAAAGGUGUAUCUUCAUAACACCAUACUCUGCCAGCCCAUAUCAGUAGUAGCAUUAUAAUCUCAGCCUUGAGAUUCUAUUUCUGAAGAUAUAGAAUGUCAUAGCUACACAAAUAAUUUCAGCACCAAUUGUGUUUUACCUUCAGUUCUACUACUAUCUAGAAAAACAAAACAAAAACAAAGAGAAAAAAUAAAUUAGGAGCAGCAAGUCACCAACACCACCUGUCCACCAACCGACCCCCUUGUGCGCACCACCUGUCCACCCCCUGCUGCGCACUGCCUCCUCUGCUUUCGCUGUUGUGUUGCCUCAUGCCUGGUUGCGCUAAGCUAAACAUCACACCGCGAAAGACCACCACCACCUUCCGCCGGCCGCCGGCCACCUCCGGCCUGCCUACGCGAGCUCCUCCCGACAGUGACAACCCCCUCACCUGGACGCGGGAACACUGCCGUGGAGGAGGAGGAGAUGGAGUUCCCGUACGAUUGUGGCGCCACUGCCGUCGUCGCGGAUGUGGCAUCCGCGCUCGCGAGCACCGGCGGUAUCCAGGCGUCCUCUCCCUCUGUCGUCGCCUCCGAGAGAGGUACCGGAGCGGCGAGCUGAAGAGGGCUCUUUCCGAGGCUGAAGCCUACGCCUUCAAGGUUGGCGAUGAGGCAGUAGCUGCAAGAUCAGAGGAGGCCGUUAGUUGAGGAGAGGAGGAGGCCGAAGCGAGCUCGUUUCGGUCGGUGGCAACGGGAUUUAUCUGGAAGGCAGCUCCUAGGCGCCUUCCACGGCGUAUCAAAGGCUGCUCACCUCAGGCCAUCCGGGCCAUCCUAGGAAGAGCAAAACUGCACUGGCAUUAGUAUUCGUACCUUUGCUUGUUCAGAAAUUUGGAUCAAAAUAUAAUUGCACCUGUCGCAACAAUAUAACAUGAAUACACAUGUGCAUUUGUGUCUCAUAUAUUUGUUUAGAGCAUAACUUGUCAUGGACACGCGCGCGCGCACACACACACAUUGGAAAUAAUGGCAUAUAUUUGGCCGUCAGCAACCCCAGUUUUUCUGGUAGUGGUGGCACUGAAAAUCAAGGAAAGUAGCGCUACUAACAGAGGCACUAAAAAUCUCUUGGGUGUGGUGGAGGUUGUGCCUCUCCUGCUGAGCACCAAUUGGCAUAAUAAGGUUCAUGAUGUUUUGAACAGUAAUACAGGUAGAUUUUGCAUAAUAUGACAGGGCACCAUAUCUCACAAUUAGAAUACAUUAUAAUAUUGAAAACAGAAAAUGAGGUGACCAAUUAGACUACUCCCAUUUAGGUGACCACAUUCUAUAGUUUAAAUUCAAAAGUUAGGCUUCUCCCUAAAGCAUACACUCAAAUAGGGGGACUUUAAAAAGAAUCUGGAUGAAACAUAUACAAAACCGCACAGUUUUUUUUUCUGAAACACAUAAAGGUUAUGUAGAAUAUCAAGUGAUCUAACCUCGAUUUAUUUUACUGCAAAUAACUAAAAAAUAACCAUUAUACUAUGCAACAUAAACGACAUUUCUUCAGACACCUAAAAAUCAGAAUCCACGACAACAGGAACAUUAGAAGCAAUAACAUUUAACCUCUAUUCGGGUGUGAAGUUCAAUAGAUAGAUAGAAGCACCUUAAGUGAUAGAAAACAAUCAGACACUAACAAAUGGAUUCAAUUGCAUAUGUAAGGUGAUCAGGUGCAGCCUAAAACAAUACUCUUGAGAUGUAAGCAGGUGACAUUUUUCUAUGCAAAUAAAAAUAAUCAAAUAAGCUAACGAUGAAUUACACGAAAUAGGAAUGGAUCUUAAAAAUAGAACUAAAAAGGACGACUGGUUUAAAGAAGAGAAUGAAGGCGGACCUCAGUCCCUGUAAUGCCCAUCGCAAUUCCAAUAUCACCAAAUUUCAGAGCCGGUGCAUCAUUCACUCCAUCACCAGUCACUGCAACAACUUCACCAUCUUCUUUGAGCAGACUAACAAUUUCCUGCUUAUGUUUUGGCUCUGCCCUUGAGAAGAGAAGGCCACAUGUUUGCCUCAACAGCUUCUUCUUAUCAGGAAGAGCCAUAAAUUCCUUCCCUGCAAAGCUCUUUGAGCUAAUGUUUUCACUGGGACCAAAAACCCCAACCUCGCAGCAUAUCGCCUCUGCUGUUUCUUUGUUAUCACCAUAACACGUAUACCAGCAGCCCUGCAAUCUUCAAUUGCUUUGUGGACUUCUUCUCGUGGAGGAUCCUGUGGUAGUAUAGUAAUAAUUAUGUUAAAGAUACAUGCAGUUGUCAAAUUAGGACCGCAUAUUUAUUUACCAAAUUACCAUGGAGUGAGAAGGUCUCACCCUUAGACCAACAAAACCACAGAAUAUCAGAUAUACUCUCUAUGGAAGAGUAGUAUGCAGGAUCAAGUAGAUAUUUGUGAUCGGGGUGCUCUUCACGAUCAUAUGUUGCAAAUUCUGCCAGAUCUUCCUUGUAUGCAAAGCUCAAACAGCGCAAUGCACGCACUGCCAGACAUCUCACGAAGUGUUGACAAUACGAGUGCCUUGGCACCCUCAUCCAAGAGCACGACGGAUCCAUCGAGCAACUGAAUAUACACACUUCUCUCUAGCAAAUUUUCUACUGCUCCCUGCAAGAGUACACUUUUACCAGAAAUAUUCGUAGGAAAGAAAAUGACAUGACCAGGAACAUUGGAAGCAGUAAUAUGACAUGAAUACAUGGCACUUGCUACUCAAAGAAACAAAUAAGAAACUCAAUGCCACAUUGUAGCUGAAUCUAUAACUAACUGACUAAAGGAAAUUAACAUUUGAUUAAAAGGUAAAUGUAAACUAAUGCAAGUUUAUACCUUGUAAAGAUUAAGAACGUCUGUUGUCAACUUGGUGGCAUCAAACCAUGCUCGUCGAUUGAUCACCUGAGUGAUUUCAGUACGUACAGGUGGGCACACCAUGUGCUUUUUCCUCAGAGGAGUAUGCAGGAGUAUACGAGCAAAUGCAGGAAUCACUUCUCUCGAUAAGCUUACGCCUAUAAGAACAACUCCCUUCACUUCGACCUGGGAACACGCAGGGGAAAAUUUAAUCUAAUAUGAUCAUUACAACGACGACAAACUUCCAUCCAAAAAUUAUGGUGGGUUCUGGAGGCCAUGAUCCACCCACAACAGAAUCCCCGACCUUUCAUGCCUCAAAAUCGAACAGAAUAUUAUGCACAUAAUUAUCCAAAUUGCUACUAAAAGCUACCAGCCAACAGCAAGAAGAACAAAAAGAAUUUCUUAGUCUUCUAUAUAUAAGUGUUUAAACAGAACUUCUACCUGGCUUUUCAAGGGAAAAAGGUAAAAGAAAGGAUGUAAGCUAGGAGUACAAAAAAAAAUAGAAGAACCAUCUCAAUAGCAGAAAUUUUUCUACCAUCAGAAUUCUCACUACCAUCAAGAUCAAAAGCUCAGCUGACAAACUGAUUUAACUAAUGCUAAAUAAAUUGAUGAUUUUCUAAAAAAAUCUCCAAGUAAACAACACACCUCUUGCAACUGUAGUUGUCGACUUGAAUGGAAUACUCGCAGCAGUCGACAUGCCCGUUAUAUUCCCGCUAUGACCAUUCACCCACCAACCUGCUGCAAGCCCACGACUGCACGGUGCUACUCAUUUGUUUGGGAGAUUGUAGACGGAUCUGCGAGUCAACCUGUGCUCCAAGUGCAUGUCUGCAGCUCCAUGUUGUUCCGUUAUGUUGACAGCAUGUUCUUAGCUCAAGAGACGGAGACAUUAUCAAGGGUGAGUGAAUCAUCAUUUAAUUAUCUAUACGCCAUGAUAACAUAAAAAGGACAUCACAUUGCUGGAGGCAUGAAACCAAGUGCCAGAUUAUACAGGUUCAUAUACACUUUUAUGGUUUCAUUCAUAUAUCAUAUGGUGUGUCGACAAAUGGCACUACUGCAUGAGAUGCAUUAAUUUUGAAUAUGCAAGUCUAGGACAGUAUGCUCCAGUAAUAAUAUAUGUCACUAUGAGCUAAUUUCCAGCAUAUUCAGUUAGCAGUUGGAUGAGUGCUAUUUUUUAUCAUAUCAGACUCCUAUCAACAUGUCAUGCAUAGUCCCUGUUCCUAUUACGAUGUGAUUCUUCAGAUGGACACUAAAAUGAUGAAUUUUCUACCUGCGCACAAUUGUAACCUGCCUUUAUAUUAGUAUAUAUUCAAGGAUGGAACAUGCCUUCAAAUGCAUGCAAGCUUUACGUAAUAGUUACUUAAUAGUUACGAAAUUAAUUAUGGAGCAAGUUUACUUAAUAGUUACGAAAUUAAUUAUUCUCGGUCAGGUGGUUCUGGUAUACUUAAGAAAACACUUGUAGACUUCAAGUACAGAUAAAUACUCAAGCUACAUGGAACUAUAGUCAACAACAUAGUUCUAUAAUAACAAGUGAUUCCAAUUAAACACAAGUGCUCAAAACCAUGGAACUGGAGCUUUAUAAAAUCAUGCUACUAAUUAUCUUAGACACCAAUUGAACUCAUAUGCGGACUAUGGUCAACUGUGGGUUUAUACACUCGUCAGAAAUAUUGGCCACUAAAAACAGAACAGCAUUAAUACAGUCAACACAUACCUCAAGUACUGAAGGACUGAGGCACUGAUCAUCUGUUUGACUCGUUUUCACUUCUGCAUAUGCUAUUUUUAUAAAGUGAUCGAGCAGGGGUGCGGCAUCGUCGAGCAGGGCCGGCGGCGACAGCCAGACCACCUUGAUCACCACGGUCCGGAAGCCAAGAGCAUGAGCAGACCAAAAUCAGAAUGGAUUAACCAGGAAACCCUAGACAAAUCCCUAAAAAACAACAAAGCCCUUGAUGAGCACAUACACAUCACAAAGGGAAAGACAAACAAGGGAGCAAAUAAUCACCUCAGCCAUCUUAGAAGCCCACUCGGUGUGCUCCCUCUCCGGCCGACCCGCAAGAUAGCCCCCACGCAACACCACCGUCCCAACCGUGAAACAGCCAGAGAAGCAAGGAAGAUGGUAAGAAAUAAGAGAAAUAAAAGGUAGUGGCUCCAAUACAAACAUUAACCAGCCUAAAGACACUGUUAUUAGAAACAUGACACCGUGGUUUCUGCUGGUUUAUCAAUAAAUUAAAACAAGCCAUUGAACCGACAACUUGCUUACUCUUAACCAGAUGAAAUCAAGGACCAACAACAAACAAUAAAAGUCAAGAACAACUUAUAUGCAAUAAAGGUAUGAGAGAGAAGAAAUAUUCACAUAAGAUGGCUAUAAACACUGGAGCAUAAAUAAGCAACACCUUUAAAUACAAAAAAAAAGGGUUCAGGGUUUAAUGCAUAGUGGGCUCAGAUUUGCCUUUCCUCGAUCAUAUAAUCUACCCCCGCCAUCUCUUGUCACCAUAUUAAUCUGUUUAUACAGUGGAGCUGCCCUGGUUAUCACUCAACAAGAAUGACCAUCCAAGGACAGAACAAUAAGUAUCACAUGAACAAAAAGGAUUCUAGAGACAAAGGGGAGGACCCAACUUGAUACCCACAGGUGCCUUGAUUGCUCAAAGGCACACUUAUUUCAGCCACAACGAAUCAUCAUCGCCCUAGCAAGGAUGGCUUCCGACCGGUGGGGCACGUGCAAAUAAAAAGGGUUCAGGGUUCAAUGCAUAUGGGCUCAGAUUUGCCUUUCCUCGAUCAUAUAAUCUACCCCCAUCAUCUCUUAUCACAAGAUCAAUAUGUUUAUACAUUGGAGCUGCCCUGGUUAUCACUCAAUAAGAAUGACCAUCCAAAGGACAGAACAAUAAGUAUCACAGGAUCAAAAAGGAUUCUAGAGACAAGAGGGAGGACCGAACUUGAUACCCACGGCUAAUCAUCAUUGCCCUAGCAAGAAUGGCUUCCGACCGAUGGGGCACGUGAUUCAAACGCGGUGGCACGAGAUAUCUCAUUUUGGGAGUAACUAUUCAUUCCAGCAGUAACUUCUUUUUAUCCGACGGACGAGGUCGUUACGGGGGUCGAUCCGACGGCCCAAGAUCCAUCAAGCAACCAGAUCCGAUGGCCAGGAAUCCCAAAUCGCUGAGGAGCGGCCUGAGGAGCUUCUAUUCUUAUUUCUGGAUGGACUUAUUUCUGGAUUUCUGGAUGGAUCACCGGAUCAAUAUGUUCUUACGAGGGUUUAACUGCCCUGGUUAUCACUCAUUAGAAAUGACCAUCCAAGGACAGAGCCACUAAAAUAAGAACGUGAUCAAAACAGCUCAAAGAAACGAGGGAGGAUCCAAAUUAAUACCCACAAGUGCCUCGACUGCUUGAGAGCAUGCCUAUAUCAGCCAUAACUGAUCAUGAUAGCCCUGGCCAUGUCCCAUAUAGUGGCUGAAGCAGAGCAGGGGAAGAUGGAGCUCACGGAGGGAGGUUGUAGCCGAGGCAGUACUCAGAGGGCACCGGGGUUGCGCCUGAACGCCAUCCAACCAGUGAGGAACCACGUCGGAGUUGCGCCUUGCACCAUCCCGCCGACGAGCACAAAUGCCAUGGGCACCGAAGUGGCCAAGGAGGUGAGGAGGUGAUGUAUAGCACAUCUAGGAGCACCAUCAGAGACGACCGGGGCAACGAGCAGGCAGGGAGAGAGGCGAGGCGGCAGGGAGAGGAAAGGGCACGACGCGAGUGCAGGCCUGCAGGGAGCGGGACAUCAAUUAUUUUUUCUUUCGGAUUAUAUAGGAAGUAUCAAACAUAUCAUAUAAGUGCAAUCAUCUUUGAUAAUAUAAGAGAGCAUACAAAUCACAGAGCUUGUUUAAGAUAUUUUGUCACAUCAAGUAGUUUAGAUAAGAAAAGCCUAACCCAGAAUUACAAAUAAUUGGAGCGAGUGAUAGAUUUAUUAUUCUGAUAAUUUGGUAGUAACUAUACAUAAAUAAUUAAUUCGCCAACAGUAAAAAGUAUGCAAUGCAUUAUUUACACAAAACAAUAUUUUUUGUAUAGGGUCAGAAAGAUAUUCCAGCAUUCAAAUCAGCAAUGCACCAUCUAUCUAUUCGAGGCAGGUUUUAGCAUCACACAACAUACCAUAGCUAAGAAUGGAACUAAAAAGUUGCAGUGGAAUUUUGAGCACCACAAACAAAAUCACCCAAAUUUCCUGACCCAAACAACUAUAUCAUGUAUCCAGUAAUUUGUUGUUUACUCUCAUACAAUUAAGAGAAUGCUCACUACUUGUAGGUAUACAUGCGAGACAUAGACAUGUGUACUCCAAAUUAUAUAUACCUCCAAAAGGAAAUUAAGAGAAAUCCCACCUCAAGUUUCUGGUUGAUUGGACAGCUGAGAAUCCUGAUUGCUAGCCAUUCACCUUACUGUAUAUUCCAAAGCUGCAAAGAAAGGACAACAGUGAAUAGACCAACCAAACAUGCAGCUUCGUAUGAAGUAUAUGUAUGAAUAGAAAACGAAACUUGACUGGAUGUUACAAGGAAAGUUUUUCCCAACAGAUUACUAAAGAGCCGAUAAAAGCUCUGGAUUUGGAUAAUCAAGCACAAUGCUCAGAUUUUUUUUUAAAUAAGUAUUAACUGUUUUCCACGAUCCUAUUAUAACCAAGUUUAAGCUCGGACCUUUAACAUAACUGUAUUUUUACUAUUCUACUAUCAUUAUCAACCAUUGCACAUCAUCAUAAAUCACCGAUCCUAUUGUUACUAAAUAGUACACCACUGAAUUUGCUGAACAAUACAAAAAGUAUUACUGAAGUGUCAGCACCAGGAGGGAGGAUGAAGGAAGUAAAUUAACAGACCAUCCAAGCUUACAAAGAACGUAAAAAUUAUGAGAACGCGCCUUAAAAAAUUCACCAACCGAGAUUGGCAUAAAACCAAAAACGAAAUUCUUGUAAGCUAGCUUCCUGAACAUACUACUUAUUUUAGCUUUCUAGAAAGUUGUGUCUAUAUACAUCUUGGUGAAGAAAAUCUUGUGGCUAGAAUUCCUACUAAUACCCGGAUAAUCAAAUACUGGCGGUUGACUAUAAAGAAGCAAUAUUCAUAUCUACUAUCUAAUAUAUUUAUCAAACUAAUUAUCAUGCUGCUCAAUGGACCAAAUAAGUUUGAACCAACCACUGUAGAUUACAGAAACCUAGGAUCUCCGAAACCAUUUGAUUAGGCAUACUAAUAAAAUCAUUUGUUUCCACUACACACGAAAGUACUUCUCAUUAUAAAAGACAGGACAUACGUCCACUAUUGUUUAUCUCGGGAUCAAAUUACAAAUAUGAAUUGUACUGCAACAUACAGUUCACUGCAAUUGUAGAUGGAGAAUCUCCUACAACUCACUUAUGAAAUGAGAAAUCAAAUGUUUUUAGAAGUUCUACUACCGAGAACAAACAAUUAUCAAGAUUGCAUCAAACAUAACUAAAAAAAUAGAGGGGAGGGGGAGGUAAAAUAAGCUACCUGAACACCAAGAAAUCUGCACUGCCUGUUGAAAGGCGAGUCAGCAAUCGACACCAUGAUAUGUACUUGCAAAACAAAUAAGAAAGCACACAAACAAAUUAGUGUCAAUCGGGUGAAGAGAAAGGAAAGAGAAAAUAAAGAUGGAAGAAGAAACAGAAACCGGAAUUUCUAGGGUCCGAGAGCCGGCUGCGCGCCCUCCGUGUGGUCAAACAAAACAAUGACUAAUUUACCUUAUUACUUUUCAGAAAAGUUGUACCAUACUGAAGUACCGAGGUAGCAGGAAAGUGUCGUUAGUAUCAUGAUAUGCGGCAGAUACAUAUAUGCAAGCACACAUCAAGUAUAGCUGAUGUUGAGUAGAUGAGGUGCUCGCAACCCAACCCAAAACUGCAAUAACCAAGCCCUACAUAACUUACAAUUUACAUGACACAUGACAUCUCCUUGCACUCAUAUAAUGAUUCAAAUCCUGCUGAUUGGCUAAUAGCGAUGCAAAAGCUAUUAACAACAGGAAGGACAAAAGAAGUAGACUUCACUAUAUACAUAGUUAGGUACCUUGUUAUCCACAAUGUGAAUAUUGAGAAUCUCAAUUCCAGACUGAUGCACAUUCAUCCUGGUUGCAUUAGACUAAACUGACCUUGCAACUUGCAUUAGUAACAAUAGAAGGCAAGAUCGAACACUAUGUCAAUGCAAUCUCGAUAAGCAAAGUUAGCUAGUACAAAGAAUUUUAUAAUUUUUUCCAAAGGUAAGUCUUCAUAAAUAAUGGCUUAGUGCAAGAUCUGGACAGACAUUAUACUUAUAGGUAGGAAGGGAUAGUUGUAAGAUAAUAUCACUAUGCCAACCAGACCCAAAAAUCAUCGGAAAUAAUCCAUAAUAUAGAGCUAAUAACAUUUAUCUACUGUAAAUUACCAUAUCAAUUGAAAAAGAUUAUUUGCAUAUGAUCUCUAAUUUAGACAUCAAUAAUAAAAGUCACAUGGCAUUUUCUUUUAAACUGAACUAAACCUCCAAAAUCAUGUCACCAAAUAAAUCUGGCAUUAACCAAACCAUUUAAGAUCAGCUUUUGUGUGAAUAUUGAGAUAAAGAUGAUCUGCCUUGUGGACCACUAUGCAAACAGAAAAACAACUGAAUAAAUUGCUUCAUGUUUUUGCAUCUUCCAAUCUUAAAGCCCUGGAGCAAGCUGGCCACAUUUUGUCAAUCUUCCAAACUUGAAGCAUACUAAACAGAAGCAACAAUGGUACUUACAAAUUGAAGGAUUCAGGAAGCAUCUCCCCCUCUACCAGGAACAUGUUGGCAAUUUUGAUAUUUCACUUGAGCAAGUAGUCAUGGAUAUGUACGUCAAGCCUGCACGACCCACCACAAGAAAUUAAAGAUAACAUAAUUCAUCCCAAGAACGCAUCCAAACAUUGAACACCUUGUGGUGGUGUACCUCUGUGGAGAAGUAGAUCUGGGCAGGCUCGUCACUGGUGACUAACAUCCCCAUGCCCUUCUCCUCCAUCCCAACACAGCAUGUUCGUCUCCUGCAGUUCCAUGAUGAUGGGAGGAGCAGUGGUGAGAGAGUGAGAGAGAGGGGGGGGGAACCUGCAGCCGAUCCUCUCCUGAGGAUGAAGGAGAAGGAGGGGCGACGGGGGAGCACCUGCAGCGGACGUAGAAGGAGGAGUGACGGGGGGAGCGCCGCAUCGAGUGCCUACUGCUGGCGCUCCUCGGCCGCGCGCACAGUCUGGCCUCCAACAUGGCCUUGGCGGCGCCGUCCGCCGCGCCCCCGAGGCCGUGCACAUCGAGCUUGCAGAAGACGGGACGACGGGGCGUCGACCUCAUCGCCCGCAGCCUCAAUCUUCUUCUAGGGUAGCGUGUGGUCGAAGGGGAUCCUGGCAGCGGAGGAACUGGAGGCGCGACGCUCGGGCUCCUAGCGGCGAGCAGCAGGCUACGGACUGCUCGCUGGGGAGCUCCUGGUCGGGCUGCACAGCGGCCAUCGUGGGCCCCUCCUGCCGGCGGCGGAGGCGGCGCGCCACCGUAGGGAAGGAAGAGGCCGACCCCCUGGGCCACGCCGCCCGCGCCAUGUCCCCUAUGCCGCCGCCGUUGCCUCGCCUUGCCAUUCCUCCUUCCCUCCAGCGGGAGCGGCGCCAGAUCAGAGGGGGUGGGAGAAGGAGGACGUGAGGGCAAGAGGUCGGGCGGCGGCGGGGAAGGAGGCAGUAGUGGCGGCGCUAGGGGUGGGAGAAAGAGGAAGGGAGGCGGCUGCGUGGGAGUGAGGGAGGCGGCUGCAGGAGGCUUGGAAGCGAGCGAGGGAGGAGGAGCCGGCUAGGUUUCACCAAGGGCGUGGCCCCCCUUUUAUACCCCUAGAAAGUGAAAUGACGAAAAUACCCUCGAGGGGCACUGGAAUUACGUGCGGUGGCAGGCCGGGAGUGAAACGAGCGCUCAGUUUUUAUCCAACGGUCGAGGGCGUUCGGGAGGGGGAUCGGACGGCCGGAAACGCAUCAAGAAGCCGAUCCGACGGCCAGGAGGCUCAAAUCGCUGAGGAGCCUCCGGCAUCCCUCCGGUUCAUAUCUCUUGAUUAGGCAAUGACUGGUGGGCUCGUCUCGUGCGCUCAUUGACUGGGUGUGCCUUUCCGAUGUCCCUUGCCAUUCUCCAAUCCCCUUCGUCCGCGCCCCGUGCUCGACCUCGAGAACAAGCAAAAAGGUCAAACCCUAGCCGCUCGUCCCGAGCCCCGCACCCCCUCUCCCACGCCGCCGCCCCUCUCCCCGCUCGCCUUGACGGCCUCCUCUCCUCCCCGUGCCGCCGCCCCCCUCCCUUCUCCCUGGAGCAGAGAUGCCUCAGUAGGGCAGCAGCGUCUCCAUGGACGUCAGUAGCAGCAGCGCCUCCAUGGACGCGGCGGCGUGACGGCUCGCCGGGGUGGAUCCCCUCCUCCGGCCCCAUCCUGCACCUCUCCGGCUGCCCAGUUGCAACGCAGCAGCAGCAGGCGACCUGCAGCAGCUCCUUCCUACCUUCCAUGGACGAGCUCGACGGAGACGUUGUCCAGCCCGACCACGGCCACGACUACCUCUCGCACAAGUCACGCCUGUCGGGGUGACUAUUGCUUUGCUGCAGCAGAGUUUGCAACGGAUGCUUGCUUCCUGAGGUGAGUGACCACCUAUGCAUCGUGACGGCGGUGGAUGAUGGCAUCACCUACAAAACCCCAAUGUUGAGCUCUCUCUCUGCUCGCUCUGAGCCGUGCCCGUCAAGACAAGGUUAUCUCAUGCUAGGGUUGUUCACUUGCCAUGUACUACUACAAGAAUUGUCGCUGUCCUCUGUUUAUUUUCCCCUUGCUGUACAUGUUAUUAUGGUUUAUUAAGUGCUCGAUUGAUGAUCUGCUAUUCAUGUGAUCACUACUUCAGUUAGUGUUCUAAAUGCUUAACUAACUGCGCCUCAAACGGCAGCUGCUCUUCUCCGCCUUGGACCAGAACCCUGGCAGCUGGAUAAGAGCAGAGGAGCGAGCAGAGCAGAUGGUUCAGCCGGCCUCCUCUCUCUCCCUCCCCUUGCUUUCACUCGCUUUUGGCACCCUCACUGCCAUUGGCUGCAUACCCAAGUUCAUCUCUCCCUUUCUUUGCCCCUGUGUCUCUUAUUUAUUUGAUUUGAUCUGAGAAUGGAAUCACUAGCGAUAUGUAUUUUCGAUUUAGGUCUUCAGAAAGAGUAUGGGAUGUCUGAGCAAGCUUUUUAUCCAUGCAUUUUUUCCUAUUGCAAUAUUUAGUUGAUUUCGCAAUAGAAGAUUUGGACAUAUUCCUUGUAGAUCUAGGCCUGUAAUCCACGUGUUUGUUACUCUGCAACAUUCAGAUCAAGAAGUAUUUAUAUCAACUUUUUCCCAAAUUACACACAAUUUUCAAGUUCUUUCAUUUUCUUUAAGGAGCUCCUUCAGUUUGUAUGCUUGAAUAUCUGAGGUAGUUCUGCAUUCUGACAUGUUCUCCUGCAUCUCUCUUUAUGUUCUACAGAUAAUUGAUGAAAAAACUUUGAUAAAGAAAUACCGGCGUCGUCUCAUUGUCUUCAUCGACAUGAGCAUCUCUGUCAGACCACGCGUCCAUGCCUUCUCAUCUACCUUGCUGGAGUGGCCGCCUCCUCGCUGAUGUAUUGCGCUGCAUCGACCUUCCUCUGCUGCCGCUGCCCGGGUCCCUCCGCUCGCUCCUGCCGAGAAAUUGCAGGCUGAGGUGAGCACCAUGAGGAUGAGGAGGUCAGUGGCUGAUAUAGAGAGCUCCUCGAACGGGGAAGUAGCAGUUUUGGAGAAACUCGAAGAUGUCAUGUUCAGUUUUGAUGGGAAUCGCUACAACAACAAUUAGAAGAGACUGCAUUUCAGGUUCAGAACCAAUUUCUAGGGGUAUGUACAAGUUGUUUUUAUUCCAUCUUGGUUUUAAAUUGGUUUUAGAUUGGUGAAUUAGCAUAGCAUAAUGAAUGUUGAGCUUCAUUUCAUCUACAUUUGGUUCUGAACAUGUGUGCAUUUAAGAAACCUUGUAUUCUUCCCUAUUUUUAAGAUCCUACAAAGAGACUAAAAAAAUGGUGAUAGGCAUGUCCAGAAUGUCGAAAGCUUCAUUUUGGUCCAUUAGAUAGUUUAUAGGUUUGUCACUGGAGGUUGGCUGUCACAUAGGGUUCCUGCUUGUAAAAAUUAUAUACAGCUAUGAAUGCUCCAUAGUUCUUCAUGCAACACAGCUAAUUGCUGAAUCUGCAAUGCAUGCUUAUUUUUUUGCAGAAGCUUAGUGGAUGAAUUAGCAUUGUGUAAAGUCUGUCUAAGCUCCUGUCUCUCUUCUUUCUAUAAACUGGAUGGCCAGGAUAGAUUUCUUAAUAACAUUUUGGGAUUGUUUGAGCACUGGACAAUGUUAACAGGUUUACCAUUUCUCAUUUCUUAAUACCAUUUUGGGAUUGUUUGAGCACUAUACCAAUGUUUUGCUUUCUGCUAAAGUCAAAGAUAUUGUAUCCUUGAGCGUUUUUCAAUUAUUGCCAAUACAUGCCAAAUUCUGCAUAUUCCUUAAGGUGACACUGAUUUUGGUUUUACUUCCCAUCUGCAUCCUCUUAUAUCGUAGGCGAGAAAUUUAUUAAAAUAUUGUAUUGGUUCCAAAAUAAUAUUUUCGGUGAAAUAGGGUGAUAAUUUCAGUAUCACUCAAUAUGUAUCAUUGUCUGUAGAAAAUAUAAAGGUACAUGCACUCAUCUGUUUUAUCUGCAUGACCUAAUUGUAAUAGAUGACCAGCGAUUUAAGAUUUGAGCCAUUGUGGCUACUUUUUAUGAUUUUCAAAUGGGUUACAUGCGGAUUGUCGUUUUAUUUAUGAGCACCUUCGUCUUGCUAUCGCCACAAUGGGAAAUUGAUCACGGUGGCAAUAUGCCCUUCUAUGCUGUCUGAUUGACUCUUUUUAUUAGCAUGGAGAAUACCCUUUAGUUCACUAAGAUUAGUUUCUAUUCACAUUAUUCUUAUAUAAAAAAGAUUAUUGUGCUAAAAAAUUGCAUGACAUUUUGGCAAAACAUUGUUUAGUAAAAAGUUAUGUAGAGGUGAAUUUUAGAGGUGAAAUGUUGUGGAUGUUCUGACUGGGAUAUGCUUGGAUUAACUUUAGCGUGACACCUUAUUCAAUAUCUGUGUAUUGGGUUCUACUAAUUGUCAGCGCCUUAAUUUUCUUUCCUCCCAAUGCCAUGUGAUAUUUACUGGACUUUAAAUCACGUGCUUGCAAGUCGUUGUUGUGUCGUCUCUCUCUCUCUCUCUAACCACUCCCCCUCCCAUCAUCUUGGCUUGCAGGUCGCCGCCGUGUCUCUAGCCAGUCCAUGACAUGGCUUGAAAUCUAGCUAGGUUGUUGCCAAGUUAACUUAGGAUUGGUAACCUACAAUGUAUUAGUGUAGCAAGCACAUGGGAAGGUGGGAUUACAUUUUAUACUCUUGAAACUAUGUAGAAUUUUGCAUGUACAUUUUUCACUAAAGCAAAAUAGAGAUCCCCUAACUAACAGAUCUAUGUUGGCUAUGAUCGCACCUUUUUACAUUGUCAUAUUUGUAGAUAUACUGUAUGAUGGAGUAUCAACUAGCUGCCUUUGGUCGCACUUAGUAUAAAAGUCUCAUAUAUUGUCGUGUAUGUACGUUCUGCAUCAUACAACAACAUACCAUUAGUGUUUAUUAUACUGUCAUGCCUCUACUUCUCUGUUGUAUACAUAGUUGCUUGUAUAUCUACUUGGAUUGUUUGCUGAACAAUUUCUCUAAUGUACAUCUCUGAAAUUACUAAUAUAUGGAUUUUCAGAUCCAAGAAAGAGAUAGGACCAAGGAAAUUAGGUAAAAACACCAGCAUGUUGUUUGUGGUGCAUGCACGGUUGUAGCGAAGAUGUGCAUGCAUUGCUGACCAUGGAGCAUUGCAAGGCUUCAGUAUAUGUACCGCAACUCAGAGACUGGACACAGUGCCACUUGCUACAACCACCAUGCAAGUGGUCGAUGCUUUAGUGUUGAACUAUUGAUUAGUCCCUCUUUUUUCUAUAAUCUAUGUGAUGAUGUCCCUUUCCAUGAAAACUUGUUAUGUGGAUUCAAUAGAAAUGAUGUUUUAGACAUGUUUGAUAGUUACGAAACAAAUGCCAUAGACGAUAGCUAUUACUAUUCUGGAGACGUUUCGAACUAUGAAAAAUAGCAAAUGAACAAUAGGCUAUUAUAGAGAUGUUUUACUGGACUAUUGUUUAUUUGCUAUUCAAUGGUGUCUCCACAAUUUUGAAGGUA